rnacentral:rRNA from 1 species
AGGACGAACGCUGGCGGCGUGCUUAACACAUGCAAGUCGAGCGAGGCCCCUCCUUCGGGAGGGUGUCCUAGCGGCGAACGGGUGAGUAACACGUGGGCAACCUGCCCUCAGCUCUGGGAUAACCCCGGGAAACCGGGGCUAAUACCGGAUACGACCUCCUUAGGCAUCUGAGGUGGUGAAAAGUUUUUCGGCUGAGGAUGGGCCCGCGGCCUAUCAGCUUGUUGGUGGGGUGAUGGCCUACCAAGGCGACGACGGGUAGCCGGCCUGAGAGGGUGACCGGCCACACUGGGACUGAGACACGGCCCAGACUCCUACGGGAGGCAGCAGUGGGGAAUAUUGCGCAAUGGGGCGAAAGCCUGACGCAGCGACGCCGCGUGAGGGACGAAGGCCUUCGGUUGUAACUCUUUCUAGCAGGGACGAAGCGAAAGUGACGGUACCUGCAGAAGAAGCACCGGCCAACUACGUGCCAGCAGCCGC